rnacentral:lncRNA from 1 species
CUAUUUAAGGAAUGACUGUAAUAUUUUUUCUGUCUAUGAAGAAAUAACAUAAAAAUUUUGGUGCACACUGAAUAACGCGCGUAGCGGGUUAUUCAACAGUGUGCACCACAUUUUUUAUGUUAUUUCGAAUAGACAGAAAAAAUAUUACAGUAAUUUCUUAUAAUUUUAUUCUAAAUUCCAUUUUAAACCGUAGAAAACCAUGAAAAAACGUUGAUGACGUCACGGUCACAUGACUAAAUUAUGUCUAUGGGCUCAUAACAAAAUAACGUCAGCCAAUCAGCAGACGCGUUACAUCCAAAAUUAAACUAUUAUAGAAGGGUCAUAAAGGAGAAAAUCUAGAGUUUUAAUUGCAAAUUCUAGACGAUUUAUAUAAAUGAAUAUUAAGUUUAGGUCAAUGAGACAACAACCCAAAGACAUCUCUAGAGCAACAUACUUCACUCAAUAGAUAUUAAAGUUAUUUAUUAAGUAAAUUCUAUGGAGAUCUAGUAGGACAAAUGUAUCUUUACACAACAAAAACAAAACGCAAAAAAAAAAAAAAAAAAAACUACCAAAAAACAAAAACAUACAAACAUACAAUAGAUAUAGGAAGAUGUGGUGUGAGUGCCAAUGAGACAACUCUCCAUCCAAAUAACAAUUUAAAAAUGUAAACCAUUCUAGGUCAAUGUACGGCCUUCAACACAGAGCCUUGGCUCACACCGAACAACAAGCACGAAUUGGACAACAACUAACGGAUGGUCAUACCAUAACCCAAGUUUAAACAUUUAUUUUAUAGUGGUUUGGGAAACAAGUUAUCACAACAUAUAUCAAUCCAUCUCCAUUUUGCGGGAGCGAGUGCUGAAUAACCCAAGUGUACUAGUA